GGCUGAUCGGGGGGGGGAGGGGAGGCAGGCCCUGUCUCUCCUCNGACGCCUCCCCAGCCUGAGGACCCUUACCAGGGUCUGCAAGGGGCACCCUCCUGGCACACGAGCUGUCCUGAGGGCAGCAGGACCAUGGCAUCCGCUUAUAACUCGGCACCCCACCCCUCAAGCCGUAACUCCUCCAGGCCUCACCAAUGUCUCUUCGCCCAGCCCUGGUGCAGGCCCUGCGGGACGAUGACCGGGAGCAGGCCGGAGCCCUGGGGCCGCGGAUCCAGCUGGUGACGGAGCAGUGCAGGCAACGCAUCGAGCGCUGGCCCGAGGUGCAGGCUGCCAUCGACGCCUGGUGGGAGCAUAUGGGGCAGUUUGUCCUGCCUGCGGAGCAUUGCCUGGGCUGGAGCACUGGACCCUGGCCCUCAAGACCCUCCUGCAGCAGCAGCAGCACAGCUGGGCCUGAUGGCCCCAUCCUGCCUGGGAGGGGCGCAGAUGUAGGUAGCCAUACCCCUGUUAGGGAAGGAGUGUGGGUGGGACAUGCCUAUAUGAGGUGGAGAUUUGGGGGGCUUAGCCCAGUCCAGUCCAGCUGUCUCCUCUUGUGCAAAGUGGGGAGGGUCAGUGUUAAAGGGGGUGACCAGAUGCUGGUGGUGGGAGCAAGGUGGGGGAGCAGAUGUCAGGUGUGGGGGGAUCCCAGAUGGGUUUUGUGGCAUUCUGUAAUUCACAUUGUUCUGAAUAAACUGACUAAAUUCACAUUCAGGCCCAUGGCAGGGACUGGGACAUGGGGCCUUUCCCCUCUGGGAUGCGCCAGCUCUGAUCUCCCCCAGGGCAGGGACUGGCUGGCUCAGGUGGUCAGGGAAUGGGGCAUGGGACCUUUCCCCUCUGGGCCCCAGCUCUGAUUGGGCCCCAGGGCAGGCACUGGCUGGCUUAGGUGCAUGGGGAAUGGUCCCCUGCUAGGAGGCACCAGCUCUGGCUGCUCCAGGCCGGCUGGGCCUGUGGUUCUGCCUGGACCAUCCCGCCCUCCUUCGUGCCCUGCCCAAGGGGCUAGUAAACACGGCCUUGUCCCAAGCGCCUGAACCCAGGGGUUUAUUCCUGUGCUGAGGUAGCCUCUUAAAUGUUUUAUGAAACAACGCUAGAGUAGAAAUAAGAAGAGCAGCCACCAUCCGGGUAAAGCCCCACCAGAAAAAGCAAAGACAAACUAGGGGAGGGCUAGCUCUGUGGUUUGAGCAUUGGCCUGCUAAACCCAAGGGUGUGAGUUCAGUCCUUGAGGGGNNNUCCGUUUAGGGAACUGGGGUAAAAAUCUUUCUGGGGAUUGGUCCUGCUUUNCCUUCUGGGGAUUGGUCCUGCUUUGAGCAGGGGGUUGGACUAGAUACCUCCUGAGGUCCCUUCCAAGCCUGAGAUUCUAUGACAGAAAACACAUCUAAAGGUUACAAAUAAAAGACUGACUCAGCACA
rnacentral:lncRNA from 1 species